UAUGUAUGCAUUGAUUUUAAGUACUUAUUGAACAUUACCAUGAUUGCAACUCACUUUCAGUUGAUAGUAUAUAUUUUAAGACAGAAUAUGUCUGUACUGUACUUCCUAUAAUAGUCAAAGGAAACAGUUUAUAGAGUCUUUUCCAUCAUCAAGAUCCAGUGCAUUUUUAAAAUUUUCACUUCUGGGUUACCAGAAGUAUUUAUGUAGCUGAUUUUCUGAAGAGCACAGCUUAGUUUAUAAAACAUAAGGAAUCAAACUAUAGCAAAUUUCAUCUCAAUAGGAAAGGGUGUGUUUAUCUAAGCUCUCUCUUAAAAAAUCCCAACAUUUUAUUUUCCAUUUUAUUGGGUUGCACAGAAACCUCACAUAUACUCUUAAGCAGCACAUCAAUUUAUGUCUCACAUUUCAGCACUGCCUCCAUUUUGGGUAGAUAUCAAUUGGAAAGAACAAGUUCAAAGCACACAGAGUCUUUACCAGCUCUUUCUGGCCCACACGAAUUCUUCUAACUUGUAUUUUCUACAAGGGAGGAAUUGCAACAGUUUCUGAAUUUUGCGAUUUUCAACUAUAGUUUCUUGUUCUUUCAGGUGUCUGCAGAGGAUCCCAACCCAUCACAGAGCUGCUUCUGUGUUUAACAGUUACUAGCAGUGAUGGAGGCAGGUUUGACAUUCUUCCAUUAUGAUACAGCUUGGAGCACGAUGUUUAAAACCUACUGGAAGACAUUAUACAAGAGAAGAGAACAGGAAGAAUAGAACUUUACAGUAGAGCUGCCAUCUAAAGAAGUUUUACACUGGAAGUCUCAACCCCAG